rnacentral:rRNA from 1 species
CUGUGCUUGCACAGAAUGAUUAGUGGCGAACGGGUGAGUAACACGUGAGUAACCUGCCCUUAACUUCGGGAUAAGCCUGGGAAACCGGGUCUAAUACCGGAUACGACCUCCUGGCGCAUGCCAUGGUGGUGGAAAGCUUUAGCGGUUUUGGAUGGACUCGCGGCCUAUCAGCUUGUUGGUUGGGGUAAUGGCCCACCAAGGCGACGACGGGUAGCCGGCCUGAGAGGGUGACCGGCCACACUGGGACUGAGACACGGCCCAGACUCCUACGGGAGGCAGCAGUGGGGAAUAUUGCACAAUGGGCGAAAGCCUGAUGCAGCGACGCCGCGUGAGGGAUGACGGCCUUCGGGUUGUAAACCUCUUUCAGCAGGGAAGAAGCGAAAGUGACGGUACCUGCAGAAGAAGCGCCGGCUAACUACGUGCCAGCAGCCGCGGUAAUACGUAGGGCGCAAGCGUUAUCCGGAAUUAUUGGGCGUAAAGAGCUCGUAGGCGGUUUGUCGCGUCUGCUGUGAAAGCCCGGGGCUCAACCCCGGGUCUGCAGUGGGUACGGGCAGACUAGAGUGCAGUAGGGGAGACUGGAAUUCCUGGUGUAGCGGUGAAAUGCGCAGAUAUCAGGAGGAACACCGAUGGCGAAGGCAGGUCUCUGGGCUGUAACUGACGCUGAGGAGCGAAAGCAUGGGGAGCGAACAGGAUUAGAUACCCUGGUAGUCCAUGCCGUAAACGUUGGGCAC